UAUCAAAAGUCUGGCCCCACCAAAGGACUUGGGGAGCAGAAUUGGGUCACCUCCACCAUGGCCUGGACACCUCUCCUCCUUGGCCUCCUUGCUCACUGCACAGGUUCUAUGGCCUCCUAUGUGCUGACUCAGCCCCCAUCUGUGUCAGUGGCCCUGGGGCAGACGGCCCAGGUCACAUGUACGGGAAACAACAUUGGAAGUAAACAUGUUUACUGGUACCAGCAGCAGCCAGGCCAGACCCCUGUGCUGAUCAUCUAUAACAGCAACAAACGGCCCUCAGGGACUCCUGAGCGAUUUUCAGGCACCGGCUCUGGGAACACGGCCACCCUGACCAUCAGUGGGGCCCAGGCUGAGGACGAGGCUGACUAUUACUGUCACGUGUUGGAUAGCACUUCUGUGCUUUUCGGCAGCAAAGAAAGGCACCAUGUGCGGUAG